GACCCCUUAGCUCAGUGGUAGAGCGUCGCAUUCCAGUCCAUCCGCUGCGUCGCAGGCCGUCCGUUCAAUCCGGGCAGGGUCA